rnacentral:rRNA from 1 species
CGAAUGCUGACAUAAGUAACGAUAAAGCGGGUGAAAAGCCCGCUCGCCGGAAGACCAAGGGUUCCUGUCCAACGUUAAUCGGGGCAGGGUGAGUCGACCCCUAAGGCGAGGCCGAAAGGCGUAGUCGAUGGGAAACAGGUUAAUAUUCCUGUACUUGGUGUUACUGCGAAGGGGGGACGGAGAAGGCUAUGUUGGCCGGGCGACGGUUGUCCCGGUUUAAGCGUGUAGGCUGGUUUUCCAGGCAAAUCCGGAAAAUCAAGGCUGAGGCGUGAUGACGAGGCACUACGGUGCUGAAGCAACAAAUGCCCUGCUUCCAGGAAAAGCCUCUAAGCAUCAGGUAACAUCAAAUCGUACCCCAAACCGACACAGGUGGUCAGGUAGAGAAUACCAAGGCGCUUGAGAGAACUCGGGUGAAGGAACUAGGCAAAAUGGUGCCGUAACUUCGGGAGAAGGCACGCUGAUAUGUAGGUGAAGUCCCUUGCGGAUGGAGCUGAAAUCAGUCGAAGAUACCAGCUGGCUGCAACUGUUUAUUAAAAACACAGCACUGUGCAAACACGAAAGUGGACGUAUACGGUGUGACGCCUGCCCGGUGCCGGAAGGUUAAUUGAUGGGGUCAGCGCAAGCGAAGCUCUUGAUCGAAGCCCCGGUAAACGGCGGCCGUAACUAUAACGGUCCUAAGGUAGCGAAAUUCCUUGUCGGGUAAGUUCCGACCUGCACGAAUGGCGUAAUGAUGGCCAGGCUGUCUCCACCCGAGACUCAGUGAAAUUGAACUCGCUGUGAAGAUGCAGUGUACCCGCGGCAAGACGGAAAGACCCCGUGAACCUUUACUAUAGCUUGACACUGAACAUUGAGCCUUGAUGUGUAGGAUAGGUGGGAGGCUUAGAAGUGUGGACGCCAGUCUGCAUGGAGCCGACCUUGAAAUACCACCCUUUAAUGUUUGAUGUUCUAACGUUGACCCGUGAUCCGGGUUGCGGACAGUGUCUGGUGGGUAGUUUGACUGGGGCGGUCUCCUCCUAAAGAGUAACGGAGGAGCACGAAGGUUGGCUAAUCCUGGUCGGACAUCAGGAGGUUAGUGCAAUGGCAUAAGCCAGCUUGACUGCGAGCGUGACGGCGCGAGCAGGUGCGAAAGCAGGUCAUAGUGAUCCGGUGGUUCUGAAUGGAAGGGCCAUCGCUCAACGGAUAAAAGGUACUCCGGGGAUAACAGGCUGAUACCGCCCAAGAGUUCAUAUCGACGGCGGUGUUUGGCACCUCGAUGUCGGCUCAUCACAUCCUGGGGCUGAAGUAGGUCCCAAGGGUAUGGCUGUUCGCCAUUUAAAGUGGUACGCGAGCUGGGUUUAGAACGUCGUGAGACAGUUCGGUCCCUAUCUGCCGUGGGCGCUGGAGAACUGAGGGGGGCUGCUCCUAGUACGAGAGGACCGGAGUGGACGCAUCACUGGUGUUCGGGUUGUCAUGCCAAUGGCACUGCCCGGUAGCUAAAUGCGGAAGAGAUAAGUGCUGAAAGCAUCUAAGCACGAAACUUGCC